CUGGCUCAGGACGAAACGCUGGCGGGCGUGCCUAAUACAUGCAAGUCGAGCGGACAGAAAGGGAGCUUGCUCCCGGAUGUUAGCGGCGGACGGGUGAGUAAACACGUGGGUAACCUGCCUGUAAGACUGGGAUAACUCCGGGAAAACCGGAGCUAAUACCGGAUAGUUCCUUGAACCGCAUGGUUCAAGGAUGAAAGACGGUUUCGGCUGUCACUUACAGAUGGACCCGCGGCGCAUUAGCUAGUUGGUGGGGUAAUGGCUCACCAAGGCGACGAUGCGUAGCCGACCUGAGAGGGUGAUCGGCCACACUGGGACUGAGACACGGCCCAGACUCCUACGGGAGGCAGCAGUAGGGAAUCUUCCGCAAUGGACGAAAGUCUGACGGAGCAACGCCGCGUGAGUGAUGAAGGUUUUCGGAUCGUAAAGCUCUGUUGUUAGGGAAGAACAAGUGCGAGAGUAACUGCUCGCACCUUGACGGUACCUAACCAGAAAGCCACGGCUAACUACGUGCCAGCAGCCGCGGUAAUACGUAGGUGGCAAGCGUUGUCCGGAAUUAUUGGGCGUAAAGGGCUCGCAGGCGGUUUCUUAAGUCUGAUGUGAAAGCCCCCGGCUCAACCGGGGAGGGUCAUUGGAAACUGGGAAACUUGAGUGCAGAAGAGGAGAGUGGAAUUCCACGUGUAGCGGUGAAAUGCGUAGAGAUGUGGAGGAACACCAGUGGCGAAGGCGACUCUCUGGUCUGUAACUGACGCUGAGGAGCGAAAGCGUGGGGAGCGAACAGGAUUAGAUACCCUGGUAGUCCACGCCGUAAACGAUGAGUGCUAAGUGUUAGGGGGUUUCCGCCCCUUAGUGCUGCAG
rnacentral:rRNA from 1 species